UACGGGGGGGGCAAGCGUUGUUCGGAAUUACUGGGCGUAAAGGGCUCGUAGGCGGCCAACUAAGUCAGACGUGAAAUCCCUCGGCUUAACCGGGGAACUGCAUCUGAUACUGGAUGGCUUGAGAUUGGGAGAGGGAUGCGGAAUUCCAGGUGUAGCGGUGAAAUGCGUAGAUAUCUGGAGGAACACCGGUGGCGAAGGCGGCAUCCUGGACCAAUUCUGACGCUGAGGAGCGAAAGCCAGGGGAGCAAACGGG
rnacentral:rRNA from 1 species